UGAGACUUUGUGUGCAUCUCGUUUGCUGGAUAUGUCCAUGAAUGGAAAAAGGCAUAGAAGCAAGACAAGGGGAAGCCCCAAUGGAUGCUGAACUCUCUUUGGAUUAGUCUUAUUGCUUUUUGGGAAAACGAGAAAAGCAUCAAGAGAAGCAAAGCCAACUCCAAAAUAAGAAGAGCGAUCUUGGUGGCUUAGGGAUAGCUAAGCAUACAUGUGGGUCAAUUUCAUAUGUCCGGAGAAGAGAAGAGAUGGUAAUUUGUAUUAUUUUUGC